rnacentral:sRNA from 1 species
AUUUUCUAAGAUCCACU